AGAGUUUGAUCCUGGCUCAGGAUAAACGCUGGCGGUGUGCUUUAUGCAUGCAAGUCGAACGGUCUGAUGGACGAGCUUGCUUGACCAUCAGAUAGUGGCGAACGGGUGAGUAACGCGUAAGUAACCUGUCCUUAAGUAGGGGAUAACUCCGAGAAAUUGGAGCUAAUACCUUAUAUGAUAGUAAAGGUAAUGCAUUAUUAUUAAAGCCUUCGGGUGCUAAAGGAGGGGCUUGCGUUCGAUUAGCUAGUUGGUGGAGUAACGGUUCACCAAGGCUGUUAUCGAUAGCUGGUCUGAGAGGAUGGUCAGCCACACUGGGACUGAGACACGGCCCAGACUCCUACGGGAGGCAGCAGCAAGGAAUAUUGUGCAAUGGGCGAAAGCCUGACACAGCGACACCGCGUGGGGGAUGACGGCUUUCGGGUUGUAAACCCCUUUUCUCAGGGAGGAAUAAAAUGACAGUACCUGAGGAAUAAGCCACGGCUAACUACGUGCCAGCAGCCGCGGUAAUACGUAGGUGGCGAGCGUUAUCCGGAUUUACUGGGCGUAAAGUGGGCGCAGGCGGCUUUGUAAGUCGGAUGUGAAAUCUCCUGGCUUAACCAGGAUGGGUCAUUCGAAACUGCAAAACUAGAGUGCAACAAGGGGAGGUAGAAUUCCCGGUGUAGUGGUGAAAUGCGUAGAUAUCGGGAGGAAUACCAGUGGCGAAGGCGGCCUUCUGGGUUGUUACUGACGCUAAGGCCCGAAGGCGUGGGGAGCAAACAGGAUUAGAUACCCUGGUAGUCCACGCCGUAAACGAUGGACACUAGGUAUAGGGAGUAUCGACCCUCUCUGUGCCGAAGCUAACGCGUUAAGUGUCCCGUCUGGGAACUACGGUCGCAAGGCUAAACUCAAAGGAAUUGACCGGGGCCCGCACACCAGCGGAGCGUGUGUUUAAUUCGAUGCAAGCGAAAACCUACCAUGCUUGACAUGUGGAAAGUAUGAACCGAAAGGUAAACGACCUGUAAGUCAGGAUCUUCACAGGUGCCUGCAUGCCUGUCGUCAGCUCGGCCGGGAGGUGUUUGAUAAGUCCUGCACGAGUGCAACCUCAUUAUCAGUUAUUUUCUGGGGAACUGCCCGCAAACCGGGAGCAGGUGCGGCUGACCUCAAGU
rnacentral:rRNA from 1 species